GAUGAACGCUAGCAGAACGCCUAACACAUAGCAAGUCGAACGGUAGCAGGGAGCUUGCUCCGCUGACGAGUGGCGAACGGGUGAGUAAUGCAUCGGAACGUACCCAGUCGUGGGGGAUAACGUAGCGAAAGUUACGCUAAUACCGCAUACGUCCUGAGGGAGAAAGCGGGGGACCGUAAGGCCUCGCGCGAAUGGAGCGGCCGAUAUCAGAUUAGGUAGUUGGUGGGGUAAAGGCUCACCAAGCCAACGAUCUGUAGCUGGUCUGAGAGGACGACCAAGCCACACUGGAACUGAGACACCGUCCAGACUCCUACGGGAGGCAGCAGUGGGGAAUUUUGGACAAUGGGCGCAAGCCUGAUCCAGCCAUUCCGCGUGCAGGAUGAAGGCCUUCGGGUUGUAAACUGCUUUUGUACGGAACGAAACGGUCUGCCCUAAUACGGCGGGCUAAUGACGGUACCGUAAGAAUAAGCACCGGCUAACUACGUG
rnacentral:rRNA from 1 species